rnacentral:rRNA from 1 species
CCAGUAGUCAUAUGCUUGUCUCAAAGAUUAAGCCAUGCAUGUCUAAGUCCAAGCUGUGUUCACACGGCGAGACCGCGGACGGCUCAUUAAAUCAGUCGUGGUCCAAAUGGGCCAGUGCAAAUCCUACUUGGAUAACUGUGGUAAUUCCAGAGCUAAUACAUGCAACUGAUAUCCCGAAGGCGGUGUUGGGGCUUGCUUGCCUUGCGCUGCGCUGCUCUGACGGAUGCUUUUAUUAGACCAAGCCGCUGAGGACUUGAGGGUUCGCGCUCUCUUGUUUGACUCGUGUGAUGGUGACUCUGGAUAACCAAAUUCUGACAAGCGCACGUACUUCUCUUCUGAGCGAGACGGCGCUGCCACUUUCGAGUGUCUGCCUUAUCAGCUAUCAACCGUUCGUUAUGCGCGACCGAUGGCUUUGACGGGUAACGGGGAAUCAGGGUUCGAUUCCGGAGAGGCAGCCUGAGAGACGGCUACCACGUCCAAGGACGGCAGCAGGCACGCAAAUUACCCAAUCCCAGCAAAUGGGGGAGGUAGUGACGAAAUCUAACGAUGCGGGCGCCCUUUCUGGGGCCCCGCAAUCGGAAUGGGCACUUUCUAAACAACCUGUUGAGAACCUACUGAAGGGCAAGUCUGGUGC